rfam:Verticillium longisporum isolate VL1 genome assembly, contig: scaffold_404
UCCCAUAUGGUGUAGUGGCCAACAUUACGGACUCUCAAUCCGUAGCCCCGAGUUCGAUCCUCGGUGUGGGAA